AUUUAGAAAAUUUAAUUAGGAAGUAGUAUUUCUAUUUAGGACUAUUUAAUCAGUUCUAUUAGGCUUAGCAUUUUCCGAGUUAUAUUGGUUUACUAUUAUCUUAUUUUGGGAUUCUUAACUUAGUACUAGUAGGACUGAUUAUUAUACUAUAAAUACCUGUAUCAUCUAAGUAUUUUAGUAGAGUGUUAUUUAUCUUCUACUAUUUUCCCCUUUGAGUAUUCUUUCUAUUAACUCUGCCUAAGUAAUUUGCGCUUAGCCGGUCCCAGUGUUAUCAAAGGCGCGCCUGA
rnacentral:misc_RNA from 1 species